rnacentral:tRNA from 1 species
GGCGGUGUAGCUCAGUUGGUUAGAGCAGCGGAAUCAUAAUCCGCGUGUCGGGGGUUCGAGUCCCUUCACCGCUA